UGGAAUGAUUGAGCUUGAUGGA
rnacentral:miRNA from 1 species